UCAGAUUGAACGCUGGCGGCAUGCCUUACACAUGCAAGUCGAACGGCAGCACGGGCUUCGGUCUGGUGGCGAGUGGCGAACGGGUGAGUAAUGCAUCGGAACGUACCCGGGAGUGGGGGAUAACUAUCCGAAAGGAUAGCUAAUACCGCAUAUUCUGUGCGCAGGAAAGCAGGGGACCUUCGGGCCUUGUGCUCCCGGAGCGGCCGAUGUCAGAUUAGCUAGUUGGUGGGGUAAAGGCCUACCAAGGCGACGAUCUGUAGCGGGUCUGAGAGGAUGAUCCGCCACACUGGAACUGAGACACGGUCCAGACUCCUACGGGAGGCAGCAGUGGGGAAUUUUGGACAAUGGGGGCAACCCUGAUCCAGCCAUGCCGCGUGAGUGAAGAAGGCCUUCGGGUUGUAAAGCUCUUUCGGCCGGGAAGAAAUCGCGUUGGCUAAUACCCAGCGUGGAUGACGGUACCGGAAUAAGAAGCACCGGCUAACUACGUGCCAGCAGCCGCGGUAAUACGUAGGGUGCGAGCGUUAAUCGGAAUUACUGGGCGUAAAGCGUGCGCAGGCGGUUUUUUAAGAUAGGCGUGA
rnacentral:rRNA from 1 species